rnacentral:lncRNA from 1 species
CGAUGAGGGGCCUCACGGUGGUGAAGAGCUUCCACCAGGGCCAGUCCUUCACCCCUUUGUUCUUCUUGAUGUUCUUCUGCACGCAGCGGAUGGCCAAAUCCUGGAUCUUCCUCUUCUUGAAGUGCUGCCGUGCCAGGAAGCCCCUGCACGCCGCCUGGAACAGGGUGAUGUUCCUGCUGGUCUGCGUGUCCCGCUGCUCCUCCAGCCUGGCCAGUGAGCCAGCACGGAAAAACACCCGGCUCAGACCCAUGUGAUAGCUGCUCUUCUCCAGGUCCAGCGACUCCAGGAGUUCCUCGACUGCCCGCUUCUCAUCCACCACGAUGUAGUUGCGGCCAUGCUUCUUGGUGAGGUGUGGGGCCAGCACGUCAAAGCGCCGCCGGAACUCGGCAAACACCAUAUGGUCAGGAUAGCCUUGGCGGUACAUGCGGAGGGCGUCGAGCAGGCGGGAGCCACGGAGCUGUGCGCGCAGCAGGGGCACAUCCAGCUGCAUCAGCCCUGCGGGCUCGCAGUGCUCGGCCGGCAGCUCCAGCUCACUGCCG